rnacentral:lncRNA from 1 species
GGGUUGUGAAGGCACAACAGAUGCAUCACCUCGAAUCAAACGCCAGUGCUAGCACCACCAGGUUAGCCUCCCAUUGGCCAGGCUCCUAUACACAGCGACCUAUCGGAUGCCACAACAGCCCAACAUAACAGCGGCGGAGCACAGACGAGCGAGCCGCGGCAGUCGGAGGUGUGUGGUGGACGGCGAGGAAGAAGCUGCAGCAGUCGAUGGCGCAUCGGCAGCGACUCAAAGGAGAUUCUGUGGAGUAGUUGUGGGCCUGCAAUCUUGUUGCCACGUAGAACAUCCUGUGUGGCGUGAUUACUCAGCAAAACGGCCAUCUAGUCAGCAAAACCAGAUUAGGGUGAGGGUCAAAGGUGAAUACUGAAAAUAAAGGGGUUAAGUAAACAAAAGCAAAUUUUAGGGGUUAUUCAAACUUUGCUCAUAGAUCGUGCAGUAAUUUGGACUUUCUCCGUGAAAUUAUCAGAAUUUCCUCGUGCGAUUUGGUUUUUAACAGUAGUUUAGGCGUGCUUGACCUUUUUUUAUACGGAUGGUUACGAUUUAAAUGUUAUCAUUACGUGAUUAAGUUCGCCACAACUUAGACGAGUUGAAAAAUUAUAGAAUCCCGUAAAUCAGUCCUGGACUUGCAAUUCCGUAGGCGGUAGGAAGUUGGCGGCCAACGACGCUCGGUUCAAAGCUGCAACAACCUCCUCGGCCAUAUCGCCGCUGCUCGUAUAUCCCUUUCCUGCCCGUCUCUUCGUCCCGACCUCACCGCUGCUCGGACUCAAGCGGCGGCGCGCCCUCAGCCCUCGUCCACUCCGGGCCGGCCACGCGGCCACGCCCCUCCUCCAUUCGGGGUCCUGCUCCAUCCACGCUAACGAGACGACCGACUACCGCAUGGGGUGGAAGUGGAAAGCAGCAUGGUAGCUCUGCCCCUUGUCGUCCCGCUCACCGGCCGAGCCGAAGAGCACCCACCACGCCUCAAGUUGAUAUCUCCAGUGCGCAAGGUGACAAAACCCCGUCUCGGUUUGUUAGUUUUUUUUAACACUGAUUAUUUGCUAAAUUGCUAGCUCCCUCCCUUCAUGCAGUCAUGCACUCAUUUGCUUUCAAUGAUGGCCACGAUUGUUGAGUCUAGAGAAAAAGAAAAGUGGGAUAGGGUGAUAUUUGAGUAUCUAAAGUUCUAAACAACAAAAUAUGGAAGAAUGUGUAACUUCUGUAAACAUUCUUAGGCUUAGCAGAGCAUCUUUCUUCCGUUUUUGUAAGCUUUUCAGGAUGUGUAUGUGUGUUGAGCAACAUGUUGCUAUGUUCUUGAAUCAGGCAUGACCAUGAUACUGCUGGCGCGCAGCCUACGCUCCAGCCUCCGCCCGCCGCUUGCCGCCGGGUUCUCCUCGGCCCCGACUGCGGCAUCGUCGUCGGCGGCCGCGGCGGAGGCGGAGCGGUCGAUACGGGACGGGCCGCGGAACGACUGGAGCCGACCCGAGAUCCAGGCCGUCUACGACUCCCCGCUCCUCGACCUCCUCUUCCACGGGGUUCGUACCCCUGCCUGGGCUGGACACUCGCGUUAAUGCUCUCUGGUUGUGUUCGUGUUUGGUGCUGAACUGCUGAUUAAUGGUGAUGCCAGAAAUUUAGCGAAAGAUUCUACCUUUCAAGCUUAUAUAAGCGCUGAAGGCCGUAGAUUUGCUGCUAAGGUUGUACGUUUAGGAUCUUUGGGCUGUAAAGGUUGAAUUUGGAGCAUCAGAGGUGAAGCCUGCCUUCUCUCAGAUGCUCGCUAAAUGUCAUUUUUGUUGUUGCCUAGUGGAGAUUGCUACAUAGUUACAGCUCGGGGGUAAUGCCAAAAGGUUUCAUCCGGGGAGGAUUUCAUGUUCUCGUGGCAAUUAGCGAUAGCGAUUGACAUUUCAGCUAUGUGGGGCUUUGCGUUGAGGACAGUGGAUAUUUCUAUUUGCUUUAUCAGAUAUAUCUGAAGAUUAUACUUAUACGCUAGCUGUGCUGGUGGAUGUUUUUCAGCAUUCACAUGCAUGUUCAGCCUUCAUUCGAUGGAUUUAUUAGAUUAAUAAUAUUGAUAUGACACCCAAUUUCUUUGUAUGGUGUCACUUUAGGCUUGCCUCUUAGCAGCGGAAAGACCUGAUUUAUUGACAGUAAUGUCAACAUUAUUGGGUUUAUUUUUUCCUUAGCAUCUGGAAUUUUUCACUCACAAUCUAUAAACACUGAAAUGCUACCACUGAUACAAAGUAGUAUAAGUCGUAGCAUAUUAUGAUGGUUGCAUUUUGGAGCCUGUUGGUUAUUUAGAGUUUCCUUAAAUUGAUGAUGUCUUUUCAUCAUGUAAAAGUUUUGAGUUUAUUGCCCCUGCAAGAAAAGAUAUCAGAUGGUGCGUACUGCAGUAUCAUCUUAUAAAGAAAUUAUUACGUUUAUAUCGAAUUGGUGUCAGUUAGCAAGUCUACAGAAACUGUGAGAUAUUUAUAGCAUCUGUAGUGUUGGUAGGAAGGUACUGCCCUCAAGGGCAUUUAAAAGGUAUAGUGUGGAAAUUCAUAUCAAGCAUUUUUUUAAGGUGUUCUUUGAUAGUUGGGAUUGCAGGUAAUGCAAAAUUUCACUUUUAGUAGGUUUUAUAUGGUGGGAAAUGUAUAUAGAAGUUUGUAGUUUAUACUGCUACAAAUUUCUAAAGUUUGAUGCUACCUGUAAGAAAGGCUAGUUCUUGUUAUAAAACAUGGAAUAAGGAUCAGGCUUCAGGCAUGGUGAUCCAUAGUUUGGCAAUUAUUGCAUGAUAGUCUGAUAAUAAACAAAUUUUGCGUGCCCAAUGCCCAAUUCAAUAUGUUUGGUCACAGUAACAUAUUCAUUUGGUGUAGAACGAUGACCUUCCUGGAUGUCUGGAUCCACCAUGGAUUGUAAGAAGUUAUUCCAUAGAUUGCUAGUCUGUAAAAAGAAUAGAUAUAUAAGAAAAUGAAACAAUUCAAAUGAUUUAUUAUUCUGCUGAUGAACACCAUAUUUUUACUGUAUCGGUUUACCUGUAAUGGAGCAUUUAGCUUUCAUGUCACCAUGUCACCAUGUUGUUCUUCUCAUUAUUGAACAAUUACUUUAUGUUUUCAGGCUCAGGUCCACAGAAAUGUUCACAAAUUCAGAGAAGUGCAGCAGUGCACGCUUCUUUCAAUAAAGACUGGUGGGUGCAGCGAAGAUUGUUCUUACUGUCCUCAGUCAUCAAGAUACAAUACUGGAUUGAAGGCCCAAAAAUUGAUGAACAAAGAUGAUGUCUUAGAAGCAGCAAAAAAGGUACUGUUAGAGUAAUAAUUGUCAGGGAGGUGAACAAGUUCACUUUGGUUGUUCCUGCAGCGUGGCAAUAUGACCUUGUAUUUUCCUCUUGACUGUAGACUUUAGUAUAUGACUCAUACUUUUGUGUUGGGUAAUAAUUGUUUCACUGUCCGCCACUCUUAUAUUGUUCCUUCUUCCAACCUAUUAUUGCACAGGCAAAAGAGGCUGGGAGCACCCGCUUUUGCAUGGGAGCUGCAUGGAGAGAAACUAUUGGCAGGAAAACAAAUUUCAACCAGAUUCUUGGAUAUGUCAAGGAAAUAAGGUAUUCACUGUAAUCUUUUAUUAUUACCAUAAACUGGUAUAUGGUGCAAGUUCUGCAUAACCGCGCACAAGUUCUCUUCUAGGUUGAUGUUCUGUUAAUAUGCCUUUAUUCGCCUAGUUUGUGACUUGUUUGGAACAAAUUAGCACUGUCUAUUAACUUCCGAUGUGCAGGUCAUUGACUUGAGGCCUUAAUGCACAGAACAUGAUGAACAAUGAAUCUUCUGUGCAUUAUUAUUGUUAUUUAUUUUAACAUUUUAGCAUGCAUUGGAUAAUUAACUUUGCAGGGGUAUGGGCAUGGAAGUCUGUUGCACACUAGGCAUGAUAGAGAAACAGCAAGCUGAAGAGCUCAAGAAGGCUGGACUUACAGCAUAUAAUCAUAACCUAGACACAUCAAGAGAGUACUAUCCCAACAUUAUUACCACAAGAUCGUAUGAUGAUAGGCUGCAGACUCUUCAGCAUGUCCGCGAAGCUGGAAUAAGCAUCUGCUCAGGUGAUUAUCUGAAGUCACUGGUGAGGUGUUUCUAGCUUUCGUCAUGUGAGCGCUGUCCUGAAAAAUAAGUGUUCCUCUUCUAGCUUACAGAAACCUGGGAUAUAUAUGUCUUCCACUUAAAAUUUGGGGCCCCAUUUCAGGUGGAAUAAUUGGUCUUGGCGAAGCAGAGGAGGACCGUGUAGGGUUGUUGCACACACUGGCCACCUUGCCUACACACCCAGAGAGCGUUCCUAUUAAUGCAUUGGUUGCUGUAAAAGGCACGCCUCUUGAGGAUCAGAAGGUAUUCUGGACCGUUCAUUUUUUAUUUUAUAUGCUUGUAGCAGGUGUAUGAGCCUAUGUUUCGGGAAGAAAAAUGCAUGUAGCUCUAUAACUACAGCACAAUGUCAACUGCAGUGUGCAGUAUAGCCAGGUUUAAGAUUAUACACGCUGAAAUUUUUUGGUGCUAACCGACGUUCUACAUCAGCCUGUAGAGAUCUGGGAAAUGAUCCGCAUGGUCGCCACUGCUCGGAUCGUGAUGCCAAAGGCAAUGGUGAGGCUCUCAGCAGGCCGCGUAAGGUUCUCCAUGCCAGAGCAAGCGCUCUGCUUCCUUGCUGGGGCCAACUCCAUCUUCGCCGGCGAGAAGCUCCUCACAACCGCAAACAACGACUUUGAUGCGGACAAGGCGAUGUUCAAAAUCCUCGGCCUGAUUCCCAAGGCUCCAAGCUUCAGCGACGAAGAGGCGGCGGCUCCUGAUUCCGACACUGAGAGGCCCGAGCAAGCCGCUUCUAUGUAAAACAUCAUUACAGAUUUUAUGUAUCUCAGUUAGUGCAAAACUAGCACUGCUGUUGUAGCUAGAGCAUUAUAUUGUAGAAACCACUACAUUGUCUAGACGCUUGAGAGUUGAGACUGAUCAGAAUUCAAAAAUAAAAUAGGGGAUGCCAAUAUGUGAUGUAUUUCAGUUAGUAGCUUCAAUAACUGAUCUCUCUCGAUGCAGCACCAUUGAGCAUCAGCCAUCUGACGGCAUCUGGGACUGGUUUCUUGCAUCGCCAGGAUUGUGUUCGUGCUUGUACUAUAGCAUGACCACAGGCUGACUCUGGUGUGUGGUGUCGAUUGUCAAAAACUCAAAAUCAUGUACGUUGGAGCCGUGCUGCGCAUGGCAUGCUGUGGUCCAUACUAUUGAAACCCGGGACUCCAGAUCGGUAGUCCAGAAAACUUUAGAACUGGGGAAAACAUACUGGAACUGAAACCCGGGAUGCGUCGUGCACUGGCAGUUUGUCCAAGAGUGAAGGCAGUGAUUCGUGAAUAUCUCGGGAGUGAAAGCCAGGCAGCCAGCUAAAGAUGACAGCUAGUAGCCCUGUUUAUGAACUGAUGGCUCGAAGUGUAUAAAUGAGGUUGGGAAACAGCAACUGAAGGAAUCGGGAAACAGCAACUGAAGGAAUCGGGAAACAGCAACUAAACGGAAUUGGGAAACAACCAAAGAACGAACAUUUACAAGUAGGCCAAUUGCGUUUUUAGUUUAUUACCCAUGUUUUGAAGUGCAGCUUAUAAUUUACCCUCAUUUCAACUUUUGUGAUUUUACCCCUUUUAAUUGUUUUUUUCCUUCUUCUUUCGAGUAACCUAAAUUGGUACUGUAAAUUCCGUCAGUUGCAACCCAAUUAAAUGAAUUAAAAACUGAUCGAAAGGUGGAAGAAGGAUUAAACUGCCUUCCCCUUUACCUUUCACCCUUCUGCUCAACUUCUCUACCUCUUAUCGACAUGUGGAAGAAAGAUUAAACCACCAUCCCUUUAACCUUUCACCUCGUGAAGAAGCACAACAAUGUGAAAGAGCGCAUACAGCAAACGUGGAGUACAAGUACUGAAACUCAGCAAGUGCCGUGCUCUAGCAGUUUGUUCGUCAGACUGAAGACAGUGAUUAACACUGGGAGUGAAAGCACGGUUAAAGAUGACAGGUAAGUAGCCAAGUUAAUGAUACUGACACGACUCAGAGUAUAAUAAUAGGUUGGGAAACAGCAACUAGGGAAAUGAACAAUUACAAGUAUAGUCCACAAAAAGCGAAGCCUUUUGCAAAGGUCUGCUGCUCAGUCUAUGAAACUGAAUCAACUACACUAGAAGUAUCUUUUAGGCUGGGGAAGUAAUAUCCAUGACACGAUAGCUAAUGGAUCAAUCGAGGAAUAUACAGUUGAAGAACAAAUUAAUAAAAAAUUGGCCAGAAUACAAGUUCAUAUGGGGGACCUGGGCUCCCUUAAAGGUCAAGUUUUUUACCUGGUUGGCAGUUCGGGAUCGGCUCUGGACGGCAGAACGGCGCAAGCGGCAUGGUCUGCAAAACUCAGAUGGGUGUGCCUUGUGUGGCCAGAUGUCUGAAUCUACCACUCAUCUAUUUGUGCAGUGCAGCUAUACCCAACAGACUUGGGCUCGGUUAGACCUGCAACUCAACCUUCCAGUAAUACAGCCGACAGGUCAUACAUCCUUGCUUGAAUGGUGGUCACAGAAACGGAGCAGGCUGCCACGACAAAGGGUCAAGGGACUUGAUUCCACCGUUAUGCUGUGCUCAUGGGCGGUAUGGAAAGAGCGAAACAGCAGGACCUUUGACACAGCCCGGGAGAAAUCACCACAGGAACUGCUCAUUGCCAUACACGAAGAAGCAGCAAAUUGGCUGGCUGCAGGCGCCAGAUGCUUGGCGACGGCUGGCUGGACCUUCGGCUCAGCCGCAGAUGGCGUCUAGAUUCUAGGAAAUGAUUUAGAACGGUUAGACCGCCU